rnacentral:lncRNA from 1 species
UGCAAAAAGUGCUAGAAUAAUGAACAAUUUGCAGUGCCAUUGGGCAUUGGUUGAUUGUUUUGUUAGUGGUCUCUGAAGAUUAGUUAUCGUCGGGACUAUUUUUAAGCUGAAAAGGAGGCAGCAGCGCUAGGAUGGCAGUCCUAGUGUCACUUUAAGUACCUUGAUAGUUUGUGAAAGUAGAUAGCCUGCUAGUGAUCGUCGGGAUGAUCAUACUUUGAAUCUUUGUUGGUGCUUUUUUUUCCGUCAGAACAAACAGAACAAGAUCUCUUUUGUGUACACAAUAUUUUGGAGCCCAUCGAGAUCAGCCUGCAACCUGCAUACAUAUAGAUGAAUGUAGCAUCAUUUUGUAGCUAGUGAUGACUAGUGUACAUGUAGCUUCAUAUGCUGUACCAUGCUAUUUUGAGUUGUCUUUAGCGGGAACAUACAACAAUAUCUUAGUGCCCUAAUACUUUGUGAAAGUUGAUUGGUGAUAUCGCCAAAGAUUGUGGGGUACAUAUGUAUAAACAUGAUACUGUCGCCACUUACCAUAUCAGGAUCUCCAGCUUCAGAUACCAUCCAGUUAGGCAGUUAGCUUGAGUUGGAUCAACAAUACAGAUAUAUAUAUAUAUACAUAGGUUGCAUGUACAUUUUCAGGAUAACUUGCAUCAUGCGGUUCAAGCCUCGCUAGAUCACUCAGCUUGUUAGACGCGGUUUGGGCUGUCGAGCUGUUCUUAAUGGAGCACCGGAGCUCAGCUCCAGACGCUUCGUUCAGAAAUGAAGCAACUGCCUACCACAGCAGACUGAAUUCAAUUAGGCAACUGUUUAACUGGAAAAGGCAUGCAUGCAUCUGAAGCUAGAAAUUCCAAUAACCUUAGUGGUUCUCUAUGCUUGACCAUUGGAAUCAUCUGUUCUGGUGGUGACAAAAGCUAGAUAGAACAGAAAAAUAUUCAUAAUUAGAAACAUGUGUGAAUAUAAUAAUAAGAAAAAAAAACAAAGAAAUAAAAGAAACGUCAGCGAACCAUUACAUGGGCUCAAUGGAAAGUCAUCAGAAGGGCUUGUUCAUAAUCCCCAAAUCCAGGGGAUUGGACAAGGCCUUAAAGAAGCAUGUUAAUAUGAUAUGGCACUUGGCUGGAGGAAGAGAGGGGAGCCGGUGCUGGCUCACACUAAAACAGAUCGGAUAUAGACGGAUAUCACCGAUAUCAUAUUUGUUUUCAUAUUUUUUUGUCAGAUUCGGAUUUGAAUACGGAUAAUGUCAACCUCAACGGAUAAGAUACGAUUGGAUAUCGACAUUAUAAAUAUAUGAUUUAAGUAUUCAGAUACGAAUAUGGUAUCGAAUGUUGAAUACUCGAACUCAGAUACAGACAGAUCUGAACUCCUCUAAACAAAUUCGAUCUUGAAUACGGUUGGAAAAUAUCUAUACUAUUUUCACCCUGGCUCACAGGCAGACGCAGGUUGGUGCUGCUGUGCCGCUGAUAUGCGGGGUCGUGUGUCACGCAUGGUUGGGUUAAUUAGGGG